CGCCUCUUGUCUACUAAAAAUAAGAGGUCCUGCCUGCCCAGUGACAUUAAGUUCAACGGCCGCGGUAUUUUGACCGUGCAAAGGUAGCGCAAUCACUUGUCUUUUAAAUGAAGACCCGUAUGAAUGGCACAACGAGGGCCAAACUGUCUCCUUUUUCAGGUCAAUGAAAUUGAUCCCCCCGUGCAGAAGCGGGGAUUAGCACAUAAGACGAGAAGACCCUAUGGAGCUUUAGACACCAGAGCAGCCCUUGUUAAACCACCCUAAACAAAGGAAAAAACCAAACGGACCCUGCCCCCAUGUCUUUGGUUGGGGCGACCGCGGGGAACACAAAACCCCCAUGUGGAAUGGGAAAACACCUCCUAAAACCAAGAGCUACAGCUCUAAGCAAUAGAAUAUCUAACCAAAAGAUCCGGCAAAGCCGAUCAACGAACCGAGUUACCCUAGGGAUAACAGCGCAAUCCCCUUUUAGAGUCCAUAUCGACAAGGGGGUUUACGACCUCGAUGUUGGAUCAGGACAUCCUAAUGGUGCAGCCGCUAUUAAGGGUUCGUUUGUUCAACGAUUAAAGUCCUACG
rnacentral:rRNA from 1 species